rnacentral:rRNA from 1 species
UGGCAGUCAGAGGCGAUGAAGGGCGUGCUAAUCUGCGAUAAGCGCCGGUAAGGUGAUAUGAACCGUUAUAACCGGCGAUACCCGAAUGGGGAAACCCAGUGUGACUCGUCACACUAUCAUUAACUGAAUCCAUAGGUUAAUGAGGCGAACCGGGGGAACUGAAACAUCUAAGUACCCCGAGGAAAAGAAAUCAACCGAGAUUCCCCCAGUAGCGGCGAGCGAACGGGGAGGAGCCCAGAGCCUGAAUCAGCAUGUGUGUUAGUGGAAGCGUCUGGAAAGGCGCGCGAUACAGGGUGACAGCCCCGUACACAAAAGCGCAUGUGCUGUGAGCUCGAUGAGUAGGGCGGGACACGUGGUAUCCUGUCUGAAUAUGGGGGGACCAUCCUCCAAGGCUAAAUACUCCUGACUGACCGAUAGUGAACCAGUACCGUGAGGGAAAGGCGAAAAGAACCCCGGCGAGGGGAGUGAAAAAGAACCUGAAACCGUGUACGUACAAGCAGUGGGAGCACCCUUUGGGUGUGACUGCGUACCUUUUGUAUAAUGGGUC